GCGCACAGACGGCCCAGAUCAAACGUGCGCACGGACGGCCCAGAUUCACGCGUACGGACAGCCCAGAUUCAAUCAGGCACGAACGGCCCAAAUUGCAUCGCGAUGGAUGGCCCAGAUUUAAUCCCAAUUAAAUCGCGAUCGGACGGUCCAGGUUUAAUCUUGAUGGACGGUUGAGAUUAAAAGGCAAAGGGUAUAAAUAACCCCACCCACACUUGACCACAAAACCCUAGCCACCAGUGCCUCGCCGGAGAAGAAGAACCAGAUGCCGGAGGAGCCGGCCGCCGCCACCCGCCGCCGCACCGGGGAAGUUUUCGACCGCCGAUCGAGGUAAAUUUUCUCCCCCUGUCUCGUUUUUUGAUGCUGAGUCCGCCUAUGGCC
rnacentral:lncRNA from 1 species